GACGAACGCUGGCGGCGUGCUUAACACAUGCAAGUCGAGCGGUAAGGCCCUUUCGGGGGUACACGAGCGGCGAACGGGUGAGUAACACGUGGGUGACCUGCCCUUAGCUCUGGGAUAAGCCUGGGAAACUGGGUCUAAUACCGGAUAUGACUCCAUGACGCAUGUUGUGGGGUGGAAAGCCUUGUGCGGCUAGGGAUGGGCCCGCGGCCUAUCAGCUUGUUGGUGGGGUGAUGGCCUACCAAGGCGACGACGGGUAGCCGGCCUGAGAGGGCGACCGGCCACACUGGGACUGAGACACGGCCCAGACUCCUACGGGAGGCAGCAGUGGGGAAUCUUGCGCAAUGGGCGAAAGCCUGACGCAGCGACGCCGCGUGAGGGAUGACGGCCUCGGUUGUAACGU
rnacentral:rRNA from 1 species